ensembl:lncRNA
GCAUCUUGCUGGAGAUCCCUGCCUACCUGAGGCCUUCUAAAGGAGGGAGUGUGCUUAGCAAGUUGGUCAUCUGAAUGAGGACAAAGAGAUGUUCUCCCCACCAGGGCGUGCUCCGGGCUCGGUCAGGUGAGCUCCCACAGGGCACGUGGGCAUCUGCAGGCAGAGCUGGAGCCGUCCUUGUGCCUCUGCUUGUCCCAAUAGCGUGCCAUUAAAUCCUCCACCCGGCACGGGGUGGGGUCUGGUCUCUGCUGGAUGAUCUCCUUCUGACCCUGGGGGGCUUUGCUGUGUGCUUCGCUUCCCUGGAGAGGGCUCUUCAGCAUCUACCCAAGCAGGGAGACCGUGUCUGAGACACCGACGCUCCACAGGAAAGCUCUUCUGCUUCGUGGAAACUGAAAAUCAUCCCCAGAAACUCCAGGUGCUCCGCGGCCGGUCGAGCACUGCCAGAUCCCUUCUCGUCCUCCGGUCGGUGUCACUUCCCCGCCAUGGCCGCUAGGUGGCGCUGCGGGCCGUUCCCGGCGCUGAGAGGAGGUCGCUGCGGAGAUGUUGCCGAACCGACCCUGCUUUCCCUCUGCCUCUAUGGGCUGAAGAUGUGGGCCAGGAACAUGACUACAGCCCAGCCUGUCCCUCACCAAUGAGUGCUAAGUAUCAGAGAAGUCUCAUGAAUUCCACUCAGCCUUCAGUCAGUUGAUCAAAUGAAGUCAUACCUCGUGCUGCAAGGAAGCUCUGGUAAUGGAUACAUUUCUUGGAACAAUAAAUGCACAUCAAAACGAUGGUGCAAAAUGCAUUGGAGAAAUAACACCCAAACUCAACUGAGAAACAGGGAAGGAAAGAAGUGACUUUGUUGUGAAAUGUGACAAUUUUCUUCAAGUCUGAAUUAAUACUGAUGUGAUGUUAAUACCAGAGAUGUUUAUGCCCUAACCUGCUGCGUGCACUCUGCUUUGCCUUCUGGGUGCAUUUGAAGGCUACAGCAUCCUAUGGGUGCAGCAAAUCAGUGCUGUACAAACAGCUUUUCAGGGUUAUUGUGCUUUGCUGGCUGAGCUUGUCCAGAUCUUCAUAAAUGCCUUUACUGACACCUCCUCAAUCUGGGUUCUGCCUUUUGGCAAUCCAGGCUUCCAUGAGCUGAUAUGAGUUUCCAGUAUAUGCAGCAUCCAGCACAGAUACGCGCUGGCUGCAGAGAGGCAGCACUUGUUUUGUUCCAGCGUCAAGCGCUGUCGGCACGCUCUGUGCGACUCGGCCCUGUGACAGCUGGGGCACAGCGAACUGCUCCUGUUUGUCCAACACGUCACUCAGCAAAAAUAAAAACAGCUGAGAAAGCUCUACUUCUGGGAAGUCGGUAGAUACUGCCUCUGCAUGUCAGAGCCGUGGUGGUGUUGGGGAACGACGCUAUCACUGCACCUUGGAGUGGUGCUCAGUGCUCACAGCUGCUCCCUGGGUACACAUAGCUCUGGUGAGGGCACAGCUGUGCGGGUACCGGGUGGUUCCACACCAGAGAUGUGGGAGGUGGAGCCCCACAGUGCAGCUGAACAGAGGAUGGCAUCCUCAAGCUGAUGGAAGGCUGCAUUAGCUUCAGAUGUUACCGUGGAUCUACCUGGCAGAAGAGGGAGGGAAGGAAGAUCGUCUUACUGUUAUAACACUAAAACAGCCCCAGAAUUUGUUUUAAAAGGUGGUGUGGAAUAUAGAAGAGGUGAUGUGAGCGCAGUGCAGCAUGGAACUCUAUUGGCUGCCCAGAGAAGGAUGGGGUGUGGAAGGAUGGACCUGGAGCUUGUAGUCCCUUGUUGUCUGGUUCUACUUCUAUGCUCAGCAAAUCAUUGAAUUUCUCAGCUCUUCCCUUUCCGUAAACUGAGGAUAAUGGUAGAAACUCCUCUGCUUCACAAGAGUGCUGGGUUGUGAAUGAAUUAACAUGUGCCGAACAACCAGACAUAGGAGACACGAUGUUAGGAGGAGAUAAAAUUGCUGCAGAGGAAGCGCAUUUUUUAAAUUGCUGCGAUCUCAGGAGUGAAAUAGCUGGGCAUGAUGGGUCUAGACUGGGGAAUACGAAUUAGAUGUCAGAGACAUCUGGGAGUUCAUGUGAUCUGGACUGGAAUGCCUAUAGCUGAAGCAGCGAGAGCGUGGGGUUGUCUUCAGGGUACAGAAAAGUGUUCAUUCUUUCACUGCAAAUGGGAGGGAGAUCCUCAAGUUGAUGAUCCCAGUGAUGAGUGGGUUUUUUUGUUUUUUCUUUUCUUUUCUUUUUUUUUUCUUUUUUUUUGAGUUGGUAAAGUUAAUAUUAAACCCCAUGACUUUGAGCUAAAAAUUCAUAGCAGACAAAAGUGAGCUCUCGUGCUUUCUGCCCUCCAGCCACAGCGAGGGAUGCCUGGUCCAAUAUUUAUUCCAUUGCUGGGAUACACCCAGCACCAGAGUGAGGAUGAUAAAUGAGCAAUUCGUACUGUUGGACUGGAUUCGGAGUUUGCCAAUGAUUCCAAAAUAGUUCCUGAAUUAGUCUAUCGCUAAUCACCCACUUGCACCAUAAUUGGGAGGCCAAGAAGUUCUCGCAGGCAGCGCAUGAGACAUACAGGGGAAAAUGAUUAAAACAAAGCCAAAAAUACCACCGCAUUGGAGUCAUGAGUCAGAUGCCGACCUUUCACGUAAACGCCGCGGAGAGGCUGAGAUCGGACGGCACCGCGGGGCUCCCGGUGGGAGGGAGGAGCGGACAUCUCCGCGGAGAGCUCUGCGCAGGAGGGGACGGGGCG